rnacentral:rRNA from 1 species
AACAAGGAUUCCCUUAGUAACGGCGAGUGAACCGGGAAGAGCUCAAAUUUGAAAUCUGGCAGUCUUCGAUUGUCCGAGUUGUAAUCUAUAGAAGUGUUUUCCGUGCUGGACCGUGUCUAAGUCCCUUGGAACAGGGUAUCAAAGAGGGUGACAAUCCCGUGCUUGAUACGACCACCAGUGCUCUGUGAUACACUCUCUACGAGUCGAGUUGUUUGGGAAUGCAGCUCAAAAUGGGUGGUAAAUUCCAUCUAAAGCUAAAUAUUGGCGAGAGACCGAUAGCGAACAAGUACCGUGAGGGAAAGAUGAAAAGCACUUUGGAAAGAGAGUUAAACAGUACGUGAAAUUGUUGAAAGGGAAACGAUUGAAGUCAGUCGUGUUCAUUGGACUCAGCUAGUUCUUCUAGUCUACUUCCUUUGAACGGGUCAACAUCAGUUUUGUCCGGUGGAUAAAGAUAGUUUCAAUGUAGCUUCUUCGGAAGUGUUAUAGGUUUCUAUCACAUACACUGGAGGAGACUGAGGACUGCAGCUCGCCUUUUGGCCGGGGUUCGCCCACGUUCGAGCUUAGGAUGUUGACAUAAUG